UGCCUGCCCAGUGACUAAACGUUAAACGGCCGCGGUAUUCUGACCGUGCAAAGGUAGCAUAAUCAUUUGUUCUCUAAAUAAGGACUUGUAUGAAUGGCCACACGAGGGUUUUACUGUCUCUUACUUCCAAUCAGUGAAAUUGACCUCCCCGUGAAGAGGCGGGGAUAAAUCAACAAGACGAGAAGACCCUAUGGAGCUUUAACUAAGUAACUCAAGGAAAAUAAAUUUAACCACCAAGGGAUAACAACACUCCUCAUGAGUUAACAGUUUCGGUUGGGGUGACCUCGGAGAACAGAAAAUCCUCCGAGCGAUUUUAAAGACUAGACUAACAAGUCAAACCAAUUCAUCGCUUAUUGAUCCAAAAACUUGAUCAACGGAACAAGUUACCCUAGGGAUAACAGCGCAAUCCUAUUCAAGAGUCCAUAUC
rnacentral:rRNA from 1 species